rnacentral:rRNA from 1 species
GGUUUGAGAGAACGAUCAGCCACACUGGAACUGAGACACGGUCCAGACUCCUACGGGAGGCAGCAUGGGGAAUCUUGCGCAAUGGGCGAAAGCCUGACGCAGCAACGCCGCGUGCGGGAUGACGGCCUUCGGGUUGUAAACCGCUUUCAGCAGGGACGAAAAUGACGGUACCUGCAGAAGAAGCUCCGGCUAACUACGUGCCAGCAGCCGCGGUAAUACGUAGGGAGCAAGCGUUGUCCGGAUUUAUUGGGCGUAAAAGAGCUCGUAGGCGGUUCCGUAAGUCGAGUGUGAAAAAUCUGGGCUCAACCCAGUGGAGCACUCGAUACUGCGGUGACUAGAGUCCGGUAGGGGAGUGUGGAAUUCCUGGUGUAGCGGUGAAAUGCGCAGAUAUCAGGAGGAACACCGACGGCGAAGGCAGCACUCUGGGCCGGUACUGACGCUGAGGAGCGAAAGCGUGGGGAGCAAACAGGAUUAGAUACCCUGGUAGUCCACGCCGUAAACGUUGGGCACUAGGUGUGGGAGGG